AUUGAACGCUGGCGGCAUGCCUUACACAUGCAAGUCGAACGGCAGCACGGGAGCAAUCCUGGUGGCGAGUGGCGAACGGGUGAGUAAUAUAUCGGAACGUGCCCAGUCGUGGGGAUAACGUAGCGAAAGCUACGCUAAUACCGCAUACGAUCUAUGGAUGAAAGCGGGGGAUCGCAAGACCUCGCGCGAUUGGAGCGGCCGAUAUCAGAUUAGGUAGUUGGUGAGGUAAAGGCUCACCAAGCCGACGAUCUGUAGCUGGUCUGAGAGGACGACCAGCCACACUGGGACUGAGACACGGCCCAGACUCCUACGGAGGCAGCAGUGGGGAAUUUUGGACAAUGGGCGCAAGCCUGAUCCAGCAAUGCCGCGUGC
rnacentral:rRNA from 1 species